CAUUCUCUUCUUCUUCCUCCCUCUCUCUAUCUUCUUCUUCUCUCUCUUAACAGAUAAGUCUCCCUCUCUCUCGUUCCUCCAUUCUCUCCGGUGAGACGCCGCCUCUCCUUCUGUCUCUCCGCCUCCCUGACUCCCGUCACUCUACCUCUUUCUCCCUCUCUCUUUUCUCCCUUCUCCCCUUUCCUCUCCUCCAUUCUUCUUCUUUUCCUUUCUUCCUCGUCUGACCAGCAGCAGCCCGACGAGGACAGCCAACAGUCAAACAGCAACAACAACGAUCAACAGCAGUCAGGCCACUCCGGCCAGCAGCUGCGACCAACAGCCAGCAGCCCCGACGCCCGGCGAGCCUUUCCCAUCUUUUCUUUUUCUCCGAGAAGAAACAAACGGAGCAGGCUCCGACAGAAAUGGGAGCUAAAAUAGCGGAUAAGGUGGAUCUUUUUAGAUCCGUCCCAGGUUUUGGACUUAAAGUUCAAGAUGAUGAAGAGUGGCCUAGAAGAAAUUUUGGACAAAGUUUUGUUUAUUAUAAUGUUGUGUAUAUUUUCAUCUGUAUUUUUAUUGAUAUGUGUAUAAAUCUAAAGCAACUCUUGUAUAUGAA